rnacentral:lncRNA from 1 species
CCCUGGCAGGAGGCUGCAGUCACUCCUCACUCGUUCACUAUAUAUAAAGAUCGGUCUGCGUCGUGGGUCAGUCAGAGGUGCAGACAGGCUGCUCAUACCCAGAGAGCCGCUGGCUGGACAUAAGAGAGGCCGGGAGGAUGUUUCCUGAGACAGCUCUGUUUGUGGCGAAUUAUCUCCUCUCUCGCAAGCCGAGGGCCCUGCUGCCCCACAGAAAUGAAGUGGAGAUGCCAUUUUAUGGGGGGAGGAAGAAUAUUGCUCUGCGCCCUGCUUACUCCAGUCACCAGGGCCUGCAAGAUUACUGGGUCAGCCCGCAGAGGCGCUAUUCAUCUGGCAGCACGUGGGCCACGCCCAGGCGGUGGCUGCUCGUCCUCCCUGGGAACACAGGCCUUUCUGAAGUAGAGUCUGUCCACUGGCCGAGCUGCUGCGGAUUGAAACACAACCUGAUAUGGAAAUAUCGUUGGCAAAAUCUCAACCAUUACUACCUGGGCAAGAGAAUUCGCCACUUCACGAGCCUGUGACCUGUCACCCCUGAGGGGUCACCCACGCUGCCAACCCAGGACCAGUUCCCAAUGGUGCCUGCUUGAUCCCCGAGACGGAGAUGUAACCCUGAGUGGAGCAGCCCGUCCUCUGCUCCCCGGACUCCUCCCCAACUGGGACUGAGGCUCCUGCACAGAGUGGCUCCCUGGGUCUUGGCUGACUGACUGGAUGCAAUACUGCUUGCAAUAAAA